AGUGAACGCUGGCGGCAGGCCUAACACAUGCAAGUCGAGCGGCAGCGCGGGGGCAACCCUGGCGGCGAGCGGCGGACGGGUGAGGAAUUCGUCGGAAUCUGCCUUUUUGUGGGGGAUAACGUAGGGAAACUUACGCUAAUACCGCAUACGUCCUACGGGAGAAAGUGGGGGACCGCAAGGCCUCACGCAGAAAGAUGAGCCGACGACCGAUUAGCUAGUUGGUGGGGUAAAGGCCCACCAAGGCGACGAUCGGUAGCUGGUCUGAGAGGAUGAUCAGCCACACUGGGACUGAGACACGGCCAAGACUCCUACGGGAGGCAGCAGUGGCGAAUAUUGGCGAAUGGGCGCAAGCCUGAUCCAGCCAUGCCGCGUGUGUGAAGAAGGCCUUCGGGUUGUAAAGCACUUUUGUCCGGAAAGAAAUCCCUGGAGCUAAUACCUUCGGGGGAUGAAGGUACCGGAAGAAUAAGCACCGGCUAACUUCGUG
rnacentral:rRNA from 1 species